rnacentral:tRNA from 1 species
GGCUGUAGCUCAGUAGUAGAGUGCUUGCCUAGCAUGUGUGAGGCCCUGAGUUCAAUCCCCAGCACCA